UUUUACACAUAAAAAUUAUUUGCAAUUCAAUAAUUCAUCCCUUCAUUCAUUUCAUAGAUGCUAUGGAACUCCUAUCACAUUCCAAGUGCUGUGUUGAUAUCUGGAGAUACAGACAAGAUCAAAGCAGAUGCAGAGUCUUUCACAUGAAUAUGUGAAUCAGAUGCAGAUGUUUCUAGUGGAACUGGGAAAUGAGAGCAGAACAAAUGUAAUUGUGGAACUUGGAAAGAAAGCUUGCACAUUAAUAAAACUCUUUGCAAAACUCAUCUAAAACAGGCAAGUAACAUUUGACUCAUAAACACAGGAUUCGACUUCUGUUUGUCUUUCUCUUCCCAGAAGAGUGAUGCUUUUGGUAGGAGGUUUUCCCAUGUUUUCCCAAUUUACCAUCUCCUUGGUCAAAGAAAUACAAACUUUUAAGUUUGGAGGGUGUAAGAACAGAUGAGCUGUGGUUUCAUUUAAAAAAGAUAGAAGGGUAUAAAAUCUAAAUUGCCAGAAAUAAAAUGUGAGUUAAGACAUAACAGUUUAAACGGCGAUGCUAGCUUCCCCUGGUCACUGGGAUUCUAACAGUACAAACGCUUAACAGAGUUGAGACACCUACUCUCUUAUGGAUGGAGAGAAUAUGAAAACAGCAGAGCCUGUUUUUGUAAGUGGCACCCAAGGAUGUUUCUACUCACCCUGAAUAGUACUUCAGUUCAUUAACUAAAAUACUUUUAUAUUAUGGUAGAUUGGUUUUCUAUUGGCUUUACUUUGGAAUAUUUUAUGAGAUGCUUACAGAGGUAAGCUUAAGAAAUACUGGGCUUUUAAAAUAAGAAUCAACAGGGUGGGAGGCGUUGGUAUAUUCUUUCAUUUAUUCAAAAUAUUUCUUAUGCUGCCAGGUAUCAUGCUAACAAAGUGAUUUCAUAGACUAUUUGUUUGUUUGAUUUAAGGAUUUGGUUGCUACUUACAUAAAUCUUGCUCUGAUAGAAAGGCAAACAUUAGGCAAAGAAUUGUAUAAUAAUAUGAUUACAGACUGUGACAAGUAAACUGAAAGUAAAAGAAACUGACAGAAAUAUUAUUUAGUUAGGAAAGCCUCUCUGAGGAAGUCUGGAUGAGUGAGAAAGAAUGACUGCAUCUUAGCCAAGAAUUGAGGAGAAAUGGGAUGGGUUUGGAGUCAGGGAAAGGGCAUUCUGGAAAAAGUGAAAAACUUGUAAACGGUUUUAUGGCAGGGAAGAACUGAGUACCGUUGAGUAAAUGAAAGGGGCCAGAGGGCUGGAGCCUAGUGAAGCAGGAGUAGCAUACAAUCGGAGGAGGCUGGAAAACUGGGGAAGACAAGAUAACAUAGGUCCUUACAGGGUAGGUUAAGGAUUUGGGGUUUUAUCUUGAGUGCAACAGAAAGCAUAUCAUUGAAAUGCUGGAAAGCCUAUUCGACCUGCUAUGUUGAGAAUGGGUUGUUGCAAUGAAUCAACAGUGGAAGCAGGGAGACCAGUUUAAAGGUCAAGGCAGCAGUCCAAGGAAAAGAUGAGAUGCCAUCAAUGGAGCAGCGAUGGAGAAAUGAUAGCUGAGUUUUGGGAUUAAUGCACUUCUAAUCCCCUAGAUCAUGCCUACAGUUUGACUUGGGAAAUUACUUUAAAAAGACAUUUAAGGCUAGCCAUAUGGCAUCCUUCCAUCACUAUUCCAUCUGAGGUGUUUUUGCUUGAGUAUUUUAUUUUGCUUUUUUUAAAAACAAAGUUUUCUAUAAAAUGUUGAAAAAUAAAAUAUGUCUAGAAAAACGAAAAGAAAUUCAUUACUACAUCAUUUACAUGUGUGUACACACACAAACAUUUAUCUAAAAAAUAAAAUUAUAUGAACU
ensembl:lncRNA